rnacentral:rRNA from 1 species
UACGUAGGGGGCAAGCGUUGUCCGGAAUCAUUGGGCGUAAAGAGCGCGUAGGCGGCCCGGUAAGUCCGCUGUGAAAGUCAAGGGCUCAACCCUUGAAUGCCGGUGGAUACUGUCGGGCUAGAGUCCGGAAGAGGCGAGUGGAAUUCCUGGUGUAGCGGUGAAAUGCGCAGAUAUCAGGAGGAACACCGGUGGCGAAGGCGGGUCUCUGGGCCGAUACUGACGCUGAGGAGCGAAAGCGUGGGGAGCGAACAGG